CCUACGGGAGGCAGCAGUAGGGAAUUUUCGGCAAUGGGGGGAACCCUGACCGAGCAACGCCGCGUGAACGAAGAAGUUAUUCGUAAUGUAAAGUUCUUUUAACAGGGAAGAAAGAGAAAUUUGACGGUACCUGAAGAAUAAGCUCCGGCUAACUACGUGCCAGCAGCCGCGGUAAUACGUAGGGAGCGAGCGUUAUCCGGAAUUAUUGGGCGAAAGGGGUGCGUAGAUGGCAUAGUAAGUCUUUUGUAAAAAGGCUGGGCUAAACCCAGUAGGGCAAAAGAUACUGCAAAGCUAGAGUAUGACAGAGGCAAGUGGAACUACAUGUGUAGCGGUAAAAUGCGUAAAUAUAUGUAAGAACACCGAUGGCGAAGGCGGCUUGCUGGGUCGAUACUGACAUUGAGGCACGAAAGCGUGGGGAGCAAACAGGAUUAGAUACCCUAGUAGUC
rnacentral:rRNA from 1 species